UGGGGAAUUUUGGACAAUGGGGGAAACCCGUGAUCCAGCCAUCCCGCGUGUGCGAUGAAGGCCUUCGGGUUGUAAAGCACUUUUGGCAGGAAAGAAACGUCGCGGGUUAAUACCCCGCGAAACUGACGGUACCUGCAGAAUAAGCACCGGCUAACUACGUGCCAGCAGCCGCGGUAAUACGUAGGGUGCAAGCGUUAAUCGGAAUUACUGGGCGUAAAGCGUGCGCAGGCGGUUCGGAAAGAAAGAUGUGAAAUCCCAGAGCUUAACUUUGGAACUGCAUUUUUAACUACCGGGCUAGAGUGUGUCAGAGGGAGGUGGAAUUCCGCGUGUAGCAGUGAAAUGCGUAGAUAUGCGGAGGAACACCGAUGGCGAAGGCAGCCUCCUGGGAUAACACUGACGCUCAUGCACGAAAGCGUGGGGAGCAAACAGGAUUAGAUACCCUGGUAGUCCACGCCCUAAACGAUGUCAACUAGCUGUUGGGGCCUUCGGGCCUUGGUAGCGCAGCUAACGCGUGAAGUUGACCGCCUGGGGAGUACGGUCGCAAGAUUAAAACUUAAAUGAAUUGACGGGGGUCAUAGCUGUUU
rnacentral:rRNA from 1 species